AUUGAACGCUGGCGGCAUGCCUUACACAUGCAAGUCGAACGGUAACGGGCCUUCGGGUGCCGACGAGUGGCGCACGGGUGCGUAAUACAUCGGAACGUGCCCGAUCGUGGGGGAUAACGAGGCGAAAGCUUUGCUAAUACCGCAUACGAUCUACGGAUGAAAGCAGGGGACCGCAAGGCCUUGCGCGGACGGAGCGGCCGAUGGCAGAUUAGGUAGUUGGUGGGAUAAAAGCUUACCAAGCCGACGAUCUGUAGCUGGUCUGAGAGGAUGAUCAGCCACACUGGGACUGAGACACGGCCCAGACUCCUACGGGAGGCAGCAGUGGGGAAUUUUGGACAAAGGGCGCAAGCCUGAUCCAGCCAUGCCGCGUGCAGGAUGAAGGCCUUCGGGUUGUAAACUGCUUUUGUACGGAACGAAAAGCCUUCUUUUAAUACAGGAGGGUCAUGACGGUACCGUAAGAAUAAGCACCGGCUAACUACGUG
rnacentral:rRNA from 1 species